AAUACUUGAGAAAUUACAUGAAGAGCUUCUUCAUUCCAAAGUAUGAAAUUUUCAAGAAGGUUCACACUAUUAGAAAAUGGAACAUGGAAUUUCACUCCAUUGAUUAUUAAAAUAAAAAGCAAACAAUGGGACAAGAUAAAGAAAAUUUACCAGGCCACUUUCUGCCAGGCAGAACACCUGUCCAAUCAAUACUAAAUUAAUUUAAACAGCAUUUACUUUCUAGAAGGUGCUGACUAUGUGAAUCAUUUGUUUCAGACAUGUCUGUAAGUAUUCCUACUAAACUACUGGCCAACUCUACAUAUAAAGUGAAGAAUAAUGAGCAAUAUAGGUGAAAACAAACAAAAACCCUUUCUUUUCAUGUAUGUUCUCUGAGGUGCUGCAUUAGAAAUCUGAGAAUUUGUAGCAUAUGCUCAAGACUCCAAGUUUCUGAUGCUUCCUACAAUAUAAUAACUGACAUUUUGAUUCCUUUUGCAUUGUCUCAUCUGCUGACUUAGUGAGAAUUCUGCAAAUUGAGUUAUAGUGUGAAAUUCUACUUAAUUAUCACUAAAGAAGAAAAAAUACCAAAUGAGAUUUCUAAUUAAAAUUUUUGACACUUAUAGAGAAGUCUUUUUAACUUUCAUAAAUGAAGAAUCAAGCAGUCCAGUUAAAAUCUAGUUAAUAUAAAGUUGUCAUCUCUUCUGUGCAUUCAGUCCAUUUUCAAAGAAUUAGGAUAUGACAAGAUAUAUUUAACUCUAAAACUCAUAAUUUAACACUUUGUGAAAUGCAACAUUAUUUAAAGUUAGCAGUAUGAGCUUUUUCAUCUUUUGUUCAAACAUUCCAGUUUUACUUGAAGGUACAGGAAAAGAUGUAAGAAUCUGGUCAAAAUAAUUCAUAAUUUCUUUGUACCAGUGGUGAUUCUGCGCCUUUCUGAAUCACUUUGGUAAAGACAGCCAAAUGUGGAAUGUCCCUAUUCACACAGCACCAGAAUUUCCAAAUAUCAUCUGUGAAAAUGUGCAGUUCUUACCACACUUUUUCCUAGUUUCUUUUACUGAGCUUUAUAUUACAGCAGGUCAGUGAACUGAGAUACUCCAGCUUAUCCCAAAAACAAGAAUAUUUUCUGUGGCUCUAAUUUAUAUUGCAGCUGUGGUUAAUGCUAUGAGUGUUUAUAUAAAAAUCCAUGCAUGGAUACCUUUUCAAUAGCAGCUGGGAGACUGCAGUCAGCAAAAUCCUCAGCAAAGUACUGUCAGUUUUUUUUGAGUCAGCACUAAGACAAACCAAGAAGAUUUUCUCUUCCUGUUAAUGCAUUGGAAUUAAACCAUUAAACAUGGAUGAACGUGAAGAGUUUUAAGAGUUUUGCCCAAAUAGGAAAGGAUGAUGUUUAGCUUUGAGACAUUGUGACCAGACUUGUAUUACUCUGCACCUUUCAACCCAAAUGCUUCAUAUACUAUUUCCAAACGUUCCUCCACUUUGAAUUACAACCUGGGAAGUGACGUUUUGGCUAGUAAAGUGGAGAACAAAUGGAUGCUGUAUGGAAGGAGGCCACAAAUCUUUUUAUGUUGCUAAUAACAGGAGGACUUUUGGCUAUUGUAAUGUUACAGACAGAAAAAUCUCCUGGUUUUAAUAUGUACCUGGGGACUAGAAAGUGAUGGCAUUAGGCCAGGGACUUGACUUGUUAAAUCAUUUGUUCCAUGGAUAUCGCAGUUAUUCAUUUACAAUACCCCUUUUUCAGUUUUUAUUCAUAGAACUCAUGUGCCAGGCACUGUUUAAGAACUGAGGAUUUAAAAAUAAAUAAAGUAAAGUAAAACCCUGGUUUCUUCCCCUCAGAAGACAAGUGAGGAGCACUUGGUGAAGCAGAGAAAUCACAAUACAGCAAAUCAAGCAUAUGUAUUUAUUACAUCAUUCCAUGGAGACUAUAAUUAGCAAAUGAGUUCAGUGACUAUGUACGUGGCUCUCUCUGCUUGGGAGUGCUAUGCCGUCCUUUCUCUUUGUUCAGAACUCUCUCCUGUUGGACAUGCCUUUACACAAGCCUUUCUGAAGUUACGCUGCAUUCCCGAAAAAGAACUCAUGAACCUUCUUUUCCUGUGAGGAAUUUUGGUUUUACUUUAUGGUCCUCCUUUCCCUUUCUAUAAAAUGGAAACAGAUAUUUGCUUCAACGCCAGAGCUUGGGAGCAGUUUGUCUUCUUUUCUAAUGGUCUGUAUGUGUGCCUGCACUUUACUUCCACUUGAAAUCAUAUCUGAAAGGAACCAUGUGUUGCCAUGUGAAGGCAUGGUAUUGUCAUUAAGAAAGUGUGUACUUAUGAAAUUUUGAAUCUUCCGUACACUAAAUUCAUUAAUCCACAUCUAAAUUCUUUGAGUUUUUGUCAACUGCCAUUGUUGUCAACAUUUCACUCCCCUAAAAAUGCAGUUUGUAUAUUUCUAAUUAGACAUAGAGCAUAGACUGUAUACUACAAAAUAAAGGAAACUUGCUAUCAUUAUCACCCACAGAAAAACUAAUGUGCAAUAGAGCUAGUCUGGCUUGAUUUGAGCUGAGCUUCUGGAAAACCAGAGAAAGAAGAAAAUUUUGUAGUCUGUCCAAGAAAGUUUUACCCUUCAUUUUAGGUACUACUAAGUACCUCAAAUUGAAAAUACUAUACACACAGACACAUACAUAUAGACUUUUUAAAGGUCUAAUAUUUGCUACAUUCUUUAAAUGUGUAUUGAUUGCUCUUAAAGUCAUUCAAAUUUAAAACUCAGGGAUUCUGCUCUGUGCCAAGAGAUUAGUCAGACAUUCUUAUAUGUGACUGUAAUGUUCACAAUAUUUAUCAGUAAAAAGUGGUAUUCUGGAGGAAAGGCUUGGCUGUCCCAGAACUGUAUUACAUCAGACUCUCUCGAGGGCCUGGGGAGCCAGAGGAGCCCUUCUCCAUCUGUAGCCUGGAAAUUCCCCCUAAGUAUUUUCCCAUGUAACCAAUUUCAAUUUCCUGUGUAGAAAGUAGGUUCCCCCCAUGGAUACUUUUUGUGCCCAAAACUCAAGUCUCAAAAGAAGUCUCCAUCAAAAAAGAAAAGAAAAGAAAAUCCUGACAUGAGAGAGUUGAAAGAGAGUCAGAUAACAAUACUUGGAAAAGUGGAUGAUGGUCUCUAGAGAAGCUGAGGAUGCAAAGGAAAGACAUUCAGGAAGUAUGCAGCUUGCCUCCUUCUGCUGUGUGUGACCCAGACAGCAAACACAUGGCUGCUCCUUAUUCUUUGUGGCUACUAAAUGAAAAAUAGCCAUGAGUAAAACAUUUUUAUUUUUUCUUUCACUGAAGCAGAUUGGAUGAAGACUGUGUGCUAUGGAGUGUAUGUUUACCUGUUACACUGCACAGUUACUUAGGUAUUUUUGAUAAAAACCUCAGGAAAAAUAAGGACUGCCUCAUUAGAAUGUUUAGUUUUUAUUUUCUAGCCAAGAAAUAAAUAGCUUUGUAGAUACCUGUUGUUGCAAAUCUUUAUAUGAUGCCCAUAUCUUCUUGCUCCAACAAGAACAUCUUAGCAUCUUAAUGGCUAUUAAUGUUUGCUGUCUAGUCCUUGAGAGAGGAUUGAGGUAUUUGCUAAAUCUCAGAAAAUAGCCUGGACUCAAUCUUUUUCAUGAAAUCUUGCUUUCAGUUUGUUUCAUUUCCAAAUAUUCCUUUUACAUGAAAGGCAGAGUAACAGUAUCAAAUGGAAGUCUAAUUAUUGAGGCUUCUACAUACCUAGGUUCAUUGUAGCCAGCUUUCCCCAGUCUAGUUGAUAUAAUGGACCUAGAUAUUCAAAGCUUCUUAUUUUAGCCUGUUUCAUCUGCCUGAUUGAAUUGACCCAUCCCAGUUGCUAAUAGUCACCAGAAGUAAACCUCAUCUACUAGUACAGUGGGACGUUUGUAACAACCAGGUAUUUAAGGAGAACCACCUAGUUUAUGAUAUUACCAAUUUCUAUGGCAUAGAUACUUUGACCAUGGGUGAUUCUAAAUUAUGGACAUGGUGCUACUGACUGAGGAGUUGGCAAGAGGUCUUGAGAAGGUAUAAGGUGGCUCAGCAACCCCAGUUCCCCAGGUUGUGGUCAGCCAAAAAUGUCCCUGAAUGUCAAACCCUGACUGCCUGUAUCUCACUCAGGCAGACAUUGGGAGACAUUCAUUUUCUGUAACUUUCCCAUUACAAGUAUCUACUUUGUAGUUCCACUGAACCACAGUGGAAAGCCUGGGAGGCCCUUUCUAAUAUCCAAAAUGAAAAAAAAUUAGUCCUCUACGAAAUGGCAGCCAGUUGAAGAGGGUGUGCUAAUUAGAAUGCAUGGACAAUGUAAGAGUCAAACCUUAGACUGUAUUCAUCACCUUCCUUAAAUACGGCUCAAAAAACUGCAAACAUAAAUUUUUACUUUUUGUAGAAAUUCUUUAACUUUUAUCUCUCUAACCCAGUCUCCUGUUUUACUUUCUUUAUAGUAUGUAUUUGAGUGUGUGUGUAUCCUGAUUAUUUUUACUUCUCUCCCAGUAAACUGUAAGAGCCAUGUUCACUGCUAAUAUUCCCACUGCCUAGCAUAUAUAAAGGCUUAAUAAAUAUUCAUUGAAUAAGUAACCUGUUUUUACUUGUUUUGAUGGAUGUUAUUAAAUUAUGAUUCAUUUUAUUUCCAGAAUACUGACCCAAAGGUAAUAUUUGACAUUUUAGAGCAAAUAUCAUUAAAAUUAUUAUAGAAUUAAACAUCUACACAUAAGUGGUAUUCUUAGGAAUAAAGUAAGCUUGGAAUCAAAAUUUUAAAAUGUGUCACCCCCUGCCCCAAGUCAAGAUGGCAGUCUAGUAAGAUCCUGGGCUCACUUUCUCCCAUGGACACACCAAAACUUCAACUACAAUAGAGCAAUUAUUUCUGAGUAUGACCUGAAGACUAGCAGAACAGAUUCUCUUCAACUAAGGAUAUAAAGAAAAAAAAACACAUCAAAACAGGUAAAGAGGCAAACACAUGGUCUGAUCAGGACCCACACCCUCCAUAUGCCACAAGUUAGAGGAAUGUUAUACUUAUAGAGAUACCCUCGAGGAUCAAGAGGUCUGGGACCCAUGUAGGACUCCCCAGUCCAGGGGACCUGCAUCAGGAAAAGGAGCAUUUGCAACAUCUGACUUAUGUUCAAAAAACUGAUGUGCUGUGGGAAACUUGCUCUUAAAGAGCCUGAGCACACAUUUACUCACUUUGCAUUCCAGUGCAGAAGCAACAGUUUGAAAAGUGCCUAGGUUGUAUGUGAAACAGAUAUACUGACUAAUUUGGGGGUGUGUACCCACAAAUUAAAACUUUCUUUGGGAAUGUCAACACUGGUGGGCACAAGCUUUGACAAUUUCCAUUAACCUGCUAACAGUCUGCCCCAUUCUGUCAUUCCUCUAACCUGCCUAUCUCAACCAGCAUGUACUAAAUCUACCCCAAGGCAGUUCCCCACCCCUCAAGUACCUGGUGGUUGGCCCUACAUAGUCCCUGAGGUGCUCCAAACUGGUGCCCCACUCUGGAGGGGCCAGUCCUUGUACAUCACCAUACCCACAGCAGCAGAGGCUGGGCCCCAAAACCAGCACACCAGAGGCCUGCUCUGCGCAAAUGGAAAGUAGUAGCUGUAAUGGCCAGGCCUCCUACAUGGGUGGACUUUGGGCCAACCCCAUGCAACAAUGCAUCUACAGGAGUCAUGGCACAACCAGAAGUAUACGUGCAGCACAUACAGGGGACUCUGCUGGAGUACCUGGUUUUGAUGAUCAGGGAGAUUGUACCACUGGGUAUCACAGGACAUAGGUCCACUCUUUCAAUACCUACAGGCAUAAGUGAUCUACUUAAUACAUAGAAACAUACACAGAGACUUGGCAAAAUGAGGAGACAAAGGAAUAUGUACCAAAAGAAAAAAAGGAAAAUAGCUAGAUGAAAAGGAGAUAAGCAAUCUACCAGAUAAAAAGUUCAAAGUAAUGAUCAUAAAGAUGCUCACUGAAUUCAGAAAUGUGAAUGAACACAAAGAGUAUAUCAAAAUAUAGAUGGAAAACAUAAAAAAGGAAUCAAUCAGAACUGAGAAUGCAGUAACUGAAAUGAAAAAAAUACUAGAAUGAAUCACCAGCAGAUUAGAUAAUUCAGAAGAAUGGAUUAGCAAUAUGGAAGACAGGGCAGUAGAAAUUAACUAUUCGGAAACAAAAAGAAAAAAAAAGA